AGUGAACGCUGGCGGUAGGCCUAACACAUGCAAGUCGAACGGCAGCACAGUAAGAGCUUGCUCUUACGGGUGGCGAGUGGCGGACGGGUGAGGAAUACAUCGGAAUCUACUUUUUCGUGGGGGAUAACGUAGGGAAACUUACGCUAAUACCGCAUACGACCUACGGGUGAAAGCAGGGGAUCUUCUGACCUUGCGCGAUUGAAUGAGCCGAUGUCGGAUUAGCUAGUUGGCGGGGUAAAGGCCCACCAAGGCGACGAUCCGUAGCUGGUCUGAGAGGAUGAUCAGCCACACUAGAACUGAGACACGGUCCAGACGACUACGGGAGGCAGCAGUGGGGAAUAUUGGACAAUGGGCGCAAGCCUGAUCCAACCAUACCGCGUCGGUGAAGAAGACCUUCGGGUUGUAAAGCCCUUUUGUUGGGAAAGAAAAGCAGCAGGUUAAUACCCCGCUGUUCUGACGGUACCCAAAGAAUAAGCACCGGCUAACUUCGUG
rnacentral:rRNA from 1 species